AGAGUUUGAUCCUGGCUCAGAACGAACGCUAGCGGUGUGGAUUAGGCAUGCAAGUCGUGCGCGAAAGCCUUCGGGCGAGUAAAGCGGCGAAAGGGUGAGUAACACGUAACCAACGUACCCCUCAGAUCGGAAUAACCUCUGGAAACGGUGGGUAAUGCCGAAUGGUCUUCGCGGGAGACAUCUUCCGGAAGGUAAACGGUGGCUUCGGCUGCUGCUGAGGGAGCGGGUUGCGGCCUAUCAGCUUGUUGGUGGGGUAACGGCCUACCAAGGCGAUGACGGGUAGCGGGUCUGAGAGGAUGAUCCGUCACACUGGGACUGAGACACUGCCCAGACUCCUACGGGAGGCUGCAGUCGAGAAUCUUCCACAAUGGGCGAAAGCCUGAUGGAGCGACGCUGCGUGUAGGAUGAAGGCCCUAGGGUUGUAAACUACUGUCACGCCAUAGGAACCCGUAGUCGUUAAUAGCGGCUGCGCUGACCAAAGCGAAAGGAAGUGCCGGCUAACUCCGUGCCAGCAGCCGCGGUAAUACGGAGGGCGCAAGCGUUGUUCGGAAUCACUGGGCAUAAAGAGCAUGUAGGCGGUCUAUCAAGUCGGAUGUGAAAGCCCUCGGCCCAACCGGGGAACUGCAUUCGAAACUGAUAGACUUGAGGACAGGAGGGGUGAGUGGAACUUCCUGGUGUAGCGGUGAAAUGCGCAGAUAUCAGAAGGAACACCAACGGCGAAGGCAGCGCUCUGGGCCGAUACUGACGCUGAGGAGCGAAAGCAUGGGGAGCAAACAGGAUUAGAUACCCUGGUAGUCCAUGCCGUAAACGUUGGGCACUAGGUGUGGGGCCCUGUCAACGGGUUCCGUGCCGUAGCUAACGCAUUAAGUGCCCCGCCUGGGGAGUACGGCCGCAAGGCUAAAACUCAAAGGAAUUGACGGGGGCCCGCACAAGCGGCGGAGCAUGUUGCUUAAUUCGAGGCAACGCGAAGAACCUUACCUGGGCUUGACAUGCACGGAAAAGCCGUAGAGAUACGGUGUCCUUUUGGGCCGUGCACAGGUGGUGCAUGGCUGUCGUCAGCUCGUGUCGUGAGAUGUUGGGUUAAGUCCCGCAACGAGCGCAACCCUUGUCCUAUGUUGCCAGCGCGUAAUGGUGGGGACUCGUAGGAGACUGCCGGGGUCAACUCGCAGGAAGGUGGGGACGACGUCAAAUCAUCAUGCCCCUUAUGUCCAGGGCUGCAAACAUGCUACAAUGGCCGGUACAAAGGGCAGCGAAACCGCGAGAUCGAGCUAAUCCCUCAAAGCCAGUCUCAGUUCGGAUUGAAGUCUGCAACUCGACUUCAUGAAGCCGGAGUCGCUAGUAAUCCCGGAUCAGCAACGCCGGGGUGAAUACGUUCCCGGGCCUUGUACACACCGCCCGUCACACCACGAAAGUCGGCAACACCCGAAGUCUGUGGCCUAACCCUCUGGGAAGGAGCAGCCGAAGGUGGGGUUGGCGAUUGGGGUGAAGUCGUAACAAGGUAACC
rnacentral:rRNA from 1 species